AUGGAAUUACCUGGAAUAUAUUUCACAGCUAGACUGUUGUCCUCAAAUCCGAUUCCGUUUCCAAAGUCCUGCAAGGAGGUCCAGGAGGCCCUUCAAGACCGGGUUCUCCACUGAGACCCACUGGUCCAGGCUCUCCAGGAUAUCCUCUUGGACCUGGUUCACCCUGAAAAAGAUGAAAUAUCUUGAGAUCAGAAUGCCCUCUAUUUCCUGGUGGACCUUCAAGUCCUGGUGUUCCAUCAGAUCCAGGAACUCCUUGUUCUCCUUUUCCUCCAGGUUCUCCAUAAUAACCCUAAGAUAAGAAAACCUGAAUUGUUCAGCAGAUCGAAUAAAAACUUUAAUUUCUUCA